UUGUUUUCCUUUUCUUCUGUGAAUUUUGGGAACAUAAACUUUAAGUUGCAAUUCUGUAUAAUUUUGAGCAGAUGCUGGUAUUCGUUUUAGCUUUUUCUCUCUGUUGGUUGUUGACCCUCUUCGAUGUUUUGAUAUAUAUCAGUUGCUUGCCUCUUUUCUCCGCUUCAUCUCUUCUAGGUUCUUGACCAAACUACUGACAGAAGAUUUGCCUCGAUUAUUUGUCCGCCCAAAGAAAAUUUUCCUGGAUUUCCAGAAAGGAAAAGCUGUUGGACCGGACCUAUUUUAGAGGACCUAAAAUCUGGAGAUUUUGUUGGAGAGCUGUCUGUUACUCUUGUAAAUGCCCAGAAACUUCCAUACAUGUUCUCUGGUAGAACGGAUCCAUAUGUUAUUUUACGAAUGGGUGAUCAAGUUAUCCGGAGUAAGAAGAACAGUCAAAACAGUAUUGGGGCUCCUGGUCAGCCAAUCUGGAAUCAGGAUUUCCAAUUCCUUGUUUCAAAUCCUAGAGAGCAAGUAUUACAAAUUGAAGUCAACGACUGUCUGGGAUUCGCUGAUAUGGCUAUUGGUACCGGACAGUACAUCCAGGUUGACCUUGGAUCACUGCCAGAUACGGUUCCUAAAGACAGAGUAGUUGUUUUGCGAGGCGGUUGGAGUUUGUUUGGAAAGGGAUCUGCUGGAGAGUUACUAUUGCGGGCUUACAUACAAAGCAUACGUGGAGGAUGAAGAAGAUGAGAAACGCAAUGCAAAAGCCACUAUUGCAUAUGCAUCCGAUGAUGAAAUGUCUGAUUCCGAAGAACCUAGCUCAUUCGUACAGAAUGACAAGAUUCCUUGUGAUGAUCUUAGUCAAAGAGUCGUUUAUGACUGUGCUGUCUGCAUUAAUUUUGAGCGAGGAAUUUCAAGGCAUAGUUUCAUCAGAGGCUGGGAGCAAACUUUAUGAAGAUGAAUCCAGCAUGUCACCGGUACCUUCAAAGACUGGAGAGAAUUCAAAAUCUCAACAGGAUUAGCAUUGUUGUGGUUCGGUGUAAUUACUUCUCUAUUGGUGCUCUUUUCUAUCAAUAUGGCCAGCUCAAGUUUCUUCAACCCGUGACAUGGUGUUGUGUGGAUCACUAGCGACUUCUUUUGCCGAAGUUGGUUAAUUUUAUCUUCUCGUCCUUAGAGAUGGCUUAUAACGAGGUCUCAGUUUUGUGUUUACAUUCUAAUGCCCUUGUAUGCACUAGAAGAGGGCACUUAUUGGCGGCGGAAAGUUUUAAUAGGAUAUAGUUCACCCAAUCUCCUACAACUAUGAAUCAACGUGUAUACCGGUGGUUUUUAUAGUAAAAUUAUUUUCCAUUCAAAUAAAAUUUAUCUUUUCUGCAAGGCGACGAUUCUGUUUACUAUAACACGUAGCAAAAUGACGCUUGCUAUUAUCAGUUACCAGCUUGUAGGCUUUGAGAAAAGCGUUCUACUGGGAACUUGUUGGUCGGAGUUUCAUAUUGGAAGUAGGGAUAAUGAUGCUCAGUUUAGUUUUGUCCAUUUUUCAGAUACAACACCUGUAAUAUACUCUGCCAUGGAUGUGCUUUUCUGGAGGAGCAAAAGUCUAAACAAGGUGUAAAGCAAAACCAAGCCAUAGGCGCAAGAAAGUUCCCACGCUGAGUAGGUCAUGGUCAUUAACACUGGGUAAAAAAUAAUUUUGGACUCACAAAGGGAAUAUUAUUUUGGGUAAAUACAAAGGAAGAUUAUAUUACCAAAAAGAAACGAAGAAGUAACAUUAACAUCACGUGAAGGCGUUGAGAUCACACGUCAUGACAUGUGGUGGACAUUGCUUGUUUGUUUUCACCGACCUCUCUUCGGUUUCUCCGUUCUCUUUUGUCUUCUUCCUUCUCAUUUUAUUAUUUUUAAUCACACUCACUUUACUACAAUAUUUCUGUAAUAUA